GGUAUAUAAACCCAGACAAUACCCAUUACUCAAUCAACUUGCUAGGCUAUUCAAAUCUAUCCACAAUUCUUCAAACGUCUAUAAUUUGUAAAAGGGAGACCAAGGAAUUCUGAUGCCAAUAAUCUCUCACUCUCUCUCUAAAUGGAUCCCAUCUUCAAUUCUAUGUUCGAAUAUUUUAAUUGUAAAGAUUUUUUUACCACAUAAACUCAGUUACUUAGAAGAAUCUGUCAACCAAAAAGAGACAGAAUCCAGCAGCUAGCAAAUAAAUGCUCCCAAAUUGCAAGUCAGCAAGCUUACCACUGCACAGGAAAAUAAUUAACCUUCACACAAGUAAAUCAAUAAAAUAAUUUAAUGUCAUAGCUAUUCACUAUGUUCACAAGUGUUAUAUUCAGCUUUCUAUUUGGAAAUAAAUCAACAAAAUAAAAAAUAAGAACAGAAAUAACAUGCAGUAUCUAAGAAAGUUGGAAUGAUGAUAAAUUUUAAAUUUAAGCAGUUUUAUUCCAACAUAAAGGUUAGACUAGUAUUGGAUAUUUGCCAUAGAAAAAGGUACAGAUUGAUUGGCAUUCCAGAAAAGAAUGUAUAUCUAGAUUCGAAAAAUAAAGCUUGAAGCUAGGAGUUUGCAAGAAAGCAUGAAGGCAUCUCUUCUUGUCAAGUUAAGGGAAUACAAAACUAAUUUGAACAACUUGAAAAGUGAACUUAAAAGAAUCACAUCGGCUGCUAAUAAUAAUGAUGAUGAGUUGUUGGAACUGGGAUAGGCUGAUACAUUAGCGGUUGGUAUCAUUCUUCUUGCUCUGUUUUGGGAGUUAAUUAGAUGAUGUAAUGAUGAUAGCAUGCAGGUAUCAUCAAAUGAUCACAAGGGAAGACUGGUGAUGUCUACAGAGAGAUUGAAUCAGUCGUCUAAAAGAAUAAAGGAGGGCAGGAGAAGCAUGCUGGAAACAGAGGAGCUUGGCGCCUCCAUCCUCCAAGAUUUGCAUCAACAACGCUAGUCACUACUUCAUGCCCACAACACGGUAACUUAAUUUCAUUUCAAGAUUUAGUACUAGUCACCAAAAUACUAACAAACCAUAUACGCAAUAUGUAAUGCAGCUUCAUGGAGUGGAUGAUAACAUCGAUAAAAGCAAGAAGAUUUUGACAGCCAUCUCAAGAAGGAUGAGUAGGAAUAAAUGGAUUCUUGGCUCCUUCAUGGCAGCCAUAGUCCUUGCAAUUAUACUUAUAACUUUUGACUAAUGAUAAACGCUAUCCAAUAAUCACAAAGUUAACACUUGACACGGCAAUUUCAAUAGCUAUAGCAAUAAUCCAAAACCCAAUGUUUUGUAAUUCUAGAAUAGAACAAACUAAAAGGGGUUUCAAUUUCAAACGAUCCACAUAAUGAAGAAGCAAUAACAGCAAAAAGGUGGGGGACUCACGCAAAAGGAGAAGGCUCAACAAAGAGAGCAAUUCGACGAGGCCUUGAAUUGUUCUCAGUGACCCUCUUCUCCUUCCUCCUCACGCAAUUCUCGUAGAGGACCAAACCUCUGACAUUAACAUCACACCAUAGUCUUAGAUCUUAAAAUAAAAUAGAACCAGAAUAAACAUGACCAUGAUUUCUAAAUUUAGAAAAUAGGAGAUUACGAUUAGGUCAUAGUUUCCACCUGAAAUAGGAAAUUUCCAAAUGAAACUGAAGUUGGCUCUAAAAAGAGUUCAGUAACAGUCAGAAAAAGAUACCUGGUUAUUGUAAGCUUGAUUGAGAGAGCAGAAAAGGACCAAAAUAGGAGGAGCGACGGCGGCAACAGAGAGAAGGAGCGAUGACAGCAGCGGAGCGACGGCGGCGCGAGCAAACAUAGUAACGGCAGCAACAGAGCGCAACGGCGGUGCGAGCAAACGGAGUGACGGCGGCGCAACCGUGACACCGACAGUGGAGAAUGAGGGUUGGUGAAUUUGGGGUAAAAUGAGGGUUUAUGAGAAAAUGAGGAAUUUGGGGUAAAAUUGUGUUUCUGAACUUAGAGGUGGGAAGUGGACACGGGGUUGUGUUUUUAAUUAGCAAUAAAAAUUG
rnacentral:lncRNA from 1 species